rnacentral:rRNA from 1 species
GUGAGGAAUAUUGGUCAAUGGACGAGAGUCUGAACCAGCCAAAUCGCGUGAAGGAAGACUGCCCUACGGGUUGUAAACUUCUUUUGUACAGGAAUAAAAGACAUUACGUGUAAUGUAUUGCAUGUACUGUACGAAUAAGCAUCGGCUAACUCCGUGCCAGCAGCCGCGGUAAUACGGAGGAUGCGAGCGUUAUCCGGAUUUAUUGGGUUUAAAGGGUGCGCAGGCGGGAUUUUAAGUCAGCGGUGAAAUUUUCAGGCUCAACCUGAACACUGCCGUUGAAACUGGGAUUCUUGAGUAUGGAUGAAGUAGGCGGAAUUCGUUGUGUAGCGGUGACAUGCUUAGAUAUAACGAGGAACUCCGAUUGCGUAGGCAGCUUACUAAGCCAUAACUGACGCUCAAGCACGAAAGCGUGGGGAUCAAACAGGAUUAGAAACCCUAGUAGUCC